CCUACGGGCGGCAGCAGUGGGGAAUAUUGCACAAUGGGGGAAACCCUGAUGCAGCGACGCCGCGUGAGUGAAGAAGUAUUUCGGUAUGUAAAGCUCUAUCAGCAGGGAAGAAAAUGACGGUACCUGACUAAGAAGCCCCGGCUAACUACGUGCCAGCAGCCGUGGUAAUACGUAGGGGGCAAGCGUUAUCCGGAUUUACUGGGUGUAAAGGGGGCGUAGACGGGGAUGCAAGUCAGGAGGGAAAGCCCGGGGCUCAAAUCCGUGACAGCUUUUGAAACUGUGUGACUGGAGUGCAGGAGAGGUAAGCGGAAUGCCUGGUGUAGCGGUGAAAUGCGUAGAUAUCAGGAGGAACACCCGUGGCGAAGGCGGCUUACUGGACUGUAACUGACGUUGAGGCUCGAAAGCGUGGGGAGCAAACAGGAUUAGAUACCCUUGUAGUC
rnacentral:rRNA from 1 species